rnacentral:rRNA from 1 species
UGAGCAAUCUGCCCUUCUCUUCGGAAUAAGCGUGGGAAGCCGCGUCUAAUGCCGAAUACGACCUCCUUUCGCAUGAUCGGAGGUGGAAAGCUCCGGCGGAGAAGGAUGAGCUCGCGGCCUAUCAGCUAGUUGGUGUGGGUAAUGGCCCACCAAGGCGACGACGGGUAGCCGGCCUGAGGAGGGUGACCGGCCACACUGGGACUGAGACACGGCCCAGACCUCCGUACGGGAGCAG